rnacentral:lncRNA from 1 species
ACAUCCUUAAGAAGAACUUCUCUUCUUUAUUUUUUCAUGAUGAAAAUCAGAUCUAUUCUAUUUUUUUAUGCUGAAAAUCAUAUGGAUUCUUGAGCCCUAGAAAAAUUCAAAAGAGAGACUCAAGAGAAGAACCAUUCUUCUCUCCUCUUCUCCCUUUUUCUCCUUAAUCUAGAACUUUAGGAAGCCCCAAACACCCAAUCAGAUUUUUUUAAUAUUUUUUUUUCUAAAUUCUUAUAUUAAAAAUUAGAUCGAAUCUGAUUUUUAUCCUAGAAAAAAAUAGAGAAAAAAUUAUGAGAAGAACUUCUUCUCCAACGCUACGCACAAGAAAGAAGACCCUUCUUCUUUCUUCUCUUUCUCUCUUUGGGAAAAACUUUUCUCUCCAAUUUUUUGCUAUAUAACCAGCAGAGGAGCCUCUCUUU